AUAAACGAAUCACCAUGUGUUUCUCUGAAGGAAACUAAUCUAGUGCUUUAGAUUUCAGCUCAAGUUGCUACUAGUAACUUUGAUCAGAAGGCAUUGAAAUGGAAUUGCAGCAGCUGAUUGGUACAUGUUCUCUGUUUGGCAAUAUGAGUUUCGACAUUGGAAUGGAGAUGUAUCUGGUCUAUUUUGCGGAAAUAGCUUCGGUGUAAUCUGAAUUUAGUCCUUUUCCAGUUAUGAGACCAGUGUGAUGUUAACUCAAUGAAACCUCAACUGAGACGGUUUGUUUAAUUUCAGUCAUGUACUCGUGUUUCAUCUUAAUUAUCAGACCAGCGUGUGACAUCAUAAUUCAGCUGGGUAGUACAGGGCUACAUUUAUAUUCACCCUGCCAUUCUUACAGAAAUGCUGUGACACAUCAUUAUGUUUUUGUGGUCAUCCACUAUCCCAGCCUCCCAGGCACUGAGGCUGAGUGUCCCUGUAGGUGGCGUUGUGCAUCUUGAUCGAAUUGUUAAUAUUUUA
rnacentral:lncRNA from 1 species